rnacentral:rRNA from 1 species
GAUGAACGCUGGCGGCGUGCCUAAUACAUGCAAGUCGAGCGAACGGACGAGAAGCUUGCUUCUCUGAUGUUAGCGGCGGACGGGUGAGUAACACGUGGAUAACCUACCUAUAAGACUGGGAUAACUUCGGGAAACCGGAGCUAAUACCGGAUAAUAUUUUGAACCGCAUGGUUCAAAAGUAAAAGACGGUCUUGCUGUCACUUAUAGAUGGAUCCGCGCUGCAUUAGCUAGUUGGUAAGGUAACGGCUUACCAAGGCAACGAUGCAUAGCCGACCUGAGAGGGUGAUCGGCCACACUGGAACUGAGACACGGUUCAGACUCCUACGGGAGGCAGCAGUAGGGAAUCUUCCGCAAUGGGCGAAAGCCUGACGGAGCAACGCCGCGUGAGUGAUGAAGGUCUUCGGAUCGUAAAACUCUGUUAUUAGGGAAGAACAUAUGUGUAAGUAACUGUGCACAUCUUGACGGUACCUAAGCAGAAAGCCACGGCUAACUACGU